rnacentral:rRNA from 1 species
ACUAUACAUCCACAAACCCGUGUGCACUGUCUUGGAGAAAGGCUUCAGAGAAGUUUUUUGUGGCCUCUCUUGGGGUCUUUCUUCGCUACAAACUCGAAUGGUUAGUAUGAACGUGGAACUUGGUUGGACCGUCACUGGCCAACAAACUAUACACAACUUUCGACAACGGAUCUCUUGGUUCUCCCAUCGAUGAAGAACGCAGCGAAACGCGAUAGGUAAUGUGAAUUGCAGAAUUCCGUGAAUCAUCGAAUCUUUGAACGCACCUUGCGCUCUAUGGCAAUCCGUAGAGCAUGCCUGUUUGAGUGCCAUGAAAUCUCCCACCCCAAGCGGUUUUUAAAUGAAACGGCUUGGCGGAUGGGGUCUGGAUGGGUGCCUCUGCCUGCGCUACCUAGCACAGGCUCGCCCGAAAUGCAUGAGCGCCUUGAGACACUUUGCAUCCGCCUCUCUGUUUGGGAGGAGGCGGCCAAGCAGUGUUUUUCUCCUGGCAUGGCAUGAUACGUCAUUUGCUAUGUCGCCUAAAGGAGGAA